rnacentral:rRNA from 1 species
GACGAACGCUGGCGGCGUGCUUAACACAUCCAAGUCGAACGGAAAGGCCCUGCUUUUGUGGGGUGCUCGAGUGGCGAACGGGUGAGUAACACGUGAGUAACCUGCCCUUGACUUUGGGAUAACUUCAGGAAACUGGGGCUAAUACCGGAUAGGAGCUCCUGCUGCAUGGUGGGGGUUGGAAAGUUUCGGCGGUUGGGGAUGGACUCGCGGCUUAUCAGCUUGUUGGUGGGGUAGUGGCUUACCAAGGCUUUGACGGGUAGCCGGCCUGAGAGGGUGACCGGCCACAUUGGGACUGAGAUACGGCCCAGACUCCUACGGGAGGCAGCAGUGGGGAAUAUUGCACAAUGGGCGGAAGGCUGAUGCAGCAACGCCGCGUGCGGGAUGACGGCCUUCGGGUUGUCACCCGCUUUCGCCUGUGACGAAGCGUGAGUGACGGUAAUGGGUAAAGAAGCACCGGCUAACUACGUG